rnacentral:rRNA from 1 species
UGCAAGUCGAACGGUAACAUUUCUAGCUUGCUAGAAGAUGACGAGUGGCGGACGGGUGAGUAAUGCUUGGGAACUUGCCUUUGCGAGGGGGAUAACAGUUGGAAACGACUGCUAAUACCGCAUAAUGUCUUCGGACCAAACGGGGCUUCGGCUCCGGCGCAAAGAGAGGCCCAAGUGAGAUUAGCUAGUUGGUAAGGUAACGGCUUACCAAGGCGACGAUCUCUAGCUGUUCUGAGAGGAAGAUCAGCCACACUGGGACUGAGACACGGCCCAGACUCCUACGGGAGGCAGCAGUGGGGAAUAUUGCACAAUGGGGGAAACCCUGAUGCAGCCAUGCCGCGUGUGUGAAGAAGGCCUUCGGCUUGUAAAGCACUUUCAGUUGUGAGGAAAAGUUAGUAGUUAAUACCUGCUAGCCGUGACGUUAACAACAGAAGAAGCACCGGCUAACUCCGUGCCAGCAGCCGCGGUAAUACGGAGGGUGCGAGC